UUUCCGUAGGUGAACCUGCGGAAGGAUCAUUAAAGUUAUAGUCCCCCGGCCCCUCCGGGCUGGGGUCUUCUAUACCACCCUUUGUUUAUGCACCUUUGUUGCUUUGGCAGGCCUGCCCUCGGGCUGCUGGCUCCGGCCGGCUCGUGCCUGCCAGAGGACCUAAACUCUGUUUGUAUAUGAAGUCUGAGUACUAUAUAAUAGUUAAAACUUUCAACAACGGAUCUCUUGGUUCUG
rnacentral:misc_RNA from 1 species